rnacentral:rRNA from 1 species
CCUACGGGAGGCAGCAGUGGGGAAUAUUGCACAAUGGGGGAAACCCUGAUGCAGCGACGCCGCGUGAGCGAUGAAGUAUUUCGGUAUGUAAAGCUCUAUCAGCAGGGAAGAACAUGACGGUACCUGACUAAGAAGCACCGGCUAACUACGUGCCAGCAGCCACGGUAAUACGUAGGGGGCAAGCGUUAUCCGGAUUUACUGGGUGUAAAGGGAACGUAGACGGCGGUGCAAGCCAGAUGUGAAAGCCCGGUGCUCAACCCCGGGACUGCAUUUGGAACUGGGCUGCUAGAGUGUCGGAGAGGCAGGCGGAAUUCCUAGUGUAGCGGUGAAAUGCGUAGAUAUUAGGAGGAACACCAGUGGCGAAGGCGGCCUGCUGGACCAUGACUGACGUUGAGGCUCGAAAGCGUGGGGAGCAAACAGGAUUAGAUACCCGAGUAGUC